rnacentral:rRNA from 1 species
UACGUAGGGGGCAAGCGUUGUCCGGAUUUAUUGGGCGUAAAGAGCGUGUAGGCGGCCAGAUAGGUCCGUUGUGAAAACUCGAGGCUCAACCUCGAGACGCCGAUGGAAACCAUUUGGCUAGAGUCCGGAAGAGGAGAGUGGAAUUCCUGGUGUAGCGGUGAAAUGCGCAGAUAUCAGGAAGAACACCCGUGGCUAAGGCGGCUCUCUAGUACGGUACUGACGCUGAGACGCGAAAUCGUGGGGAGCGAACAGG